rnacentral:rRNA from 1 species
AACGAACGCUGGCGGCAUGCCUAACACAUGCAAGUCGAACGAGACCUUCGGGUCUAGUGGCGCACGGGUGCGUAACGCGUGGGAACCUGCCCUUAGGUUCGGAAUAACUCCCCGAAAGGGGUGCUAAUACCGGAUAAUGUCUUCGGACCAAAGAUUUAUCGCCUUUGGAUGGGCCCGCGUUGGAUUAGCUAGUUGGUAGGGUAAAAGCCUACCAAGGCGACGAUCCAUAGCUGGUCUGAGAGGAUGAUCAGCCACACUGGGACUGAGACACGGCCCAGACUCCUACGGGAGGCAGCAGUAGGGGAUAUUGCACAAUGGGCGAAAGCCUGAUCCAGCAAUGCCGCGUGAGUGAUGAAGGCCUGAGGGUUGUAAAGCUCUUUUACCCGGGAUGAUAAUGACAGUACCGGGAGAAUAAGCUCCGGCUAACUCCGUG